ACAGUGGUGGUUCAGUGGUAGAAUUCUUACCUUCCCUGCGGGAGACCUGGGUUCCAUUCCUGGCCAGUGUA
rnacentral:tRNA from 1 species